ensembl:lncRNA
CGGAAGUGCUCCAGGACGCUAGGGGCAGUGUUGAGCUUUUGUUACCUAGUAACUACACAAGCCAUGAAGUACCAAUGACCGGAUUUGGGCUGUAGGCCGCAUUUUAAGGCCGAUUACAUCACAGCGACACGACGAAGGCUGUCCCAAUUCAAAGGCUGCUCCAAAUGCGGCCCUCAAAUGCGUCCUUAAUUUCCCUGAAUUUUAAGGAUGGGUCGGUGUAGCCUUCAUGGCCCAACAUACCCCAGAUUUCAUAGCGCGGCGGUGGUGUGGAUAAUUUUGCCGAAAAAACGGCGGAAGCCGAGCGGCCGAAGAGUAAACUUUCAGAACUUAUCACACAUUUGAUUUCCUUGUGUGACAACUGCAAGUGUCCAGAGUGAGGACAGACUGAGGGACCCACUGCUGCACAUCAUCUGUGAGCCUUUGCACCCCUGAUGAUCCACCAGGACAAACUCAGCCGUGUGUGAGGAAGAGGAGGAGGAAGAGCCAGCAGCAGCUGACAGAUGGAGAGAAUAGACAGACUGUUCCCUGUUUGUGAAGGACUGGUAGAAAAGUUUAACAUAACUAAUGUCUGUCCUGAAUCAGUCUUAUUAGGUAACCUUCAAAUAAUGUUAUCAUUCCAGUGUUUUCAGUGUGGGAGAAAGUACUCAGGGCCUUCAGGUUACACACUAUGAAAGGCAGCAACAAGUUUAAUGUUCAGAAACCUAAAGUAUGUAUCAGCAGCAGAAUGGAGCUAAAAAUAAAUGUUUGUUUCAGUUCUAUGAAGCUUUGAGUAUUUUGGAUUAGUAGCACUGCUGUGUUUGUUGCAUCAUAUUGCUGUAAUUGUUUAUAUGCUUUAUAUAUUCUGAGGUAACUUGAUCUAUAGUGUUACAUCAUAUUCUAUAAGGAUGUUAUGUGUUUGUAGACUUUCUGCCCAGUUUGACCCAUUUAGCAGAAGUCCGCCUGUUUAAGGCUCUGAUAUCUAUUCUGUAUGACUUAAAGCAGUUAUGACAUGGUCUGAUUUUC